rnacentral:rRNA from 1 species
AGAGUUUGAUCAUGGCUCAGAUUGAACGCUGGCGGCAUGCCUUACACAUGCAAGUCGAACGGAUUCAAGAGGCUUGCUUCUUGAGUUAGUGGCGAACGGGUGAGUAAUACAUCGGAACGUACCCAGUUGUGGGGGAUAACGUAGCGAAAGUUACGCUAAUACCGCAUACGCACUGAGGUGGAAAGCGGGGGACCUUCGGGCCUCGCGCAAUUGGAGCGGCCGAUGUCGGAUUAGCUAGUUGGUAGGGUAAAAGCCUACCAAGGCGACGAUCCGUAGCUGGUCUGAGAGGACGACCAGCCACACUGGAACUGAGACACGGUCCAGACUCCUACGGGAGGCAGCAGUGGGGAAUUUUGGACAAUGGGCGAAAGCCUGAUCCAGCCAUGCCGCGUGAGUGAAGAAGGCCUUCGGGUUGUAAAGCUCUUUCAGACGGAAAGAAAUCUCCCGGGUGAAUAUCCUGGGAGGAUGACGGUACCGUAAGAAGAAGCACCGGCUAACUACGUGCCAGCAGCCGCGGUAAUACGUAGGGUGCGAGCGUUAAUCGGAAUUACUGGGCGUAAAGCGUGCGCAGGCGGUUAUAUAAGACAGAUGUGAAAUCCCCGGGCUUAACCUGGGAACUGCGUUUGUGAC